AUUGGACCAAUCUUAUGAUUAGAUAGAUUUGCAAUACAAAUAUUUCCUGUCAUAAUGCCUUUACAUGCACCAAAAAUUAACUCUACAAAAAGUAUGCAAAUCAGAAAUCAAAUGCCACAACAGCCUCAAAUCCUGUGUAGCGCACAGUCGCGCAACAAAAAGACAGAACCUAAACCUCAAGCAGCAGCAAAGCCAGCAACCUAACGAGCAACCUUUCUCAUGUGCUUCAUCACAGUCAACGAGGUGAGAACAGAGAACUAGCCACUGUGAAUUCAGCUACCAAAAACGCCAUCUCACUUUCCAAGGGGAUCGUUACUUGUCAGUCAACAAGAGGCAAACCGAUAAUACAGACCCACAAGCUCAACCAGCCAACUUUCUCAAGAGACGACUUAUAAGACAUGAAUCCUAGAUAAUCAUCAUACUGAGGAAACAUGGACCCCCAUCAUAGCCAAUUAUAUCACCUAAUAGUCUAAGCGGAUAACAGCUUGAGAACCUGUUCCCAAACAAUUUUAGAUAUUUAUUUUCCUCAACUCCAUCGGCAGCGACAGUGUUCACAUGGCAUUAACUUGCGAGAAUCAUUUAGCUAAUUUGGGCUUCAUGAAUAAUUCAUUGCUAAUGUUGAUUUAAAACAGGAAGCGUUGGAGAAGGUCUAACAACAUUCAGCACCCCUCUAGCAGUUGCCUCAAAAAAUGAAUUAAAGUUUAGACGCAAAAGAAAACGCCUAAGAAAGGGAGCUCGUUGACUCCCUGCUAGCCUGCUACUACGCAAUAUAGUGUACAAUGAGUUGGAUUUCUUGUUAAAUUCCUCUGUUAUAUGAUCCAGUUCAGACGUAUUUGGGUUGUUUUCUUGGUUCUCAAUGCUCCAACAGAAUUGCAGACAAAGUUUCAUUAUGCUGUCUAAUAUCCUUGACACAGAGCCAAUGUCCAAGAAAGACUGUGAAACUAAAGCAGAUAAAUACUCUUGAUGGAAGCCCACAAGUUCAGUGAAGUCAUGAGAGUCUUGAAUAUGGGCUUGCAAAACAUUCCAUUGAGACUCUAUCACAUCCACCUGGAUAUAAAACUGAAGAUUUCUGAUCAAGAAUGCCAUAUGCUCUCUAACACGCCACAUUGGCCUAAAACGUUGCCGUCGCUGUUGAGAUAUUGAGCAGUUACGGUCAUUCCGAUGCCUGGCAAAAUCAGUGUGAUCUUGAUGCAUCACAGAGGCCCAUGAUUUCUCCAAUUCCAUUUGUGUUCUUUUGAGCCGUAGCAAAUAUUGGAAGACCCUAAGGUACCUGGAGCAUGCUUGAUGUUUAACAUGGAUAAAUAACAGAAGGCCAAUUAUUCAGCAAUUAUCAAUUCUCAAGACAGUUUCUUGAUUUGAGAAACAAUUUGUGAAGUACCUUCAACGCAAUAGAAAAAGCAAAGCAACAAACAAUUAUAAAUGAAGCAGAAGGAGAAGAAUAUUGCUGAUAAGUAGCUGAAACAUCUUACUUGGACAGCACUUCUUGAGUAAAGAACAACUGCAAUGGCCAAUCAACAGCAUAUUCAAGAGCAAUACCAUCCCAGCCAUCAAGGGACAUCUCUGAAGAAGCAUUAGUUAAUGCAGCACCAGUGUUUGCAUCAGCAUAUGCAUUUGACUUGGGUAAAUCUACUUGGGAGGAUUUAACAGUGAUUCCAAAUGAAGGCAUCCUAGUAUAUGUAAAGAUAAUGUUAAUAGAAUUUCAAUGAAGCAAAGACUGAUAGCAAUGUUCAAACCUGUGAUUAAAAAUAUAGGCUCUAACCGCAAUGAUACUCUAGAAAAGUAUUUAUCUUCCUCACCAAUUGUCUUUAUGGCAGCCUGAAUUGCAAGUAGAGUAUAUAAACCAUUAGUAAGUUUGACAAUGAGCAAAGAAAGCUGGCAUGUUCAAUAUUUUAGCCACAAAAAGGCACAAACUCAUCGAGUAGGGAUACCAGCUGAAAUGGGACCAUGAGAUCAGCUUCAGCAGUUGACUGCCGAGGAGGUAAACGCAUUAAUUGGCGACUCUCCUCCAGAAAACACUGGAAAAAAUCUCCUUUUGCUAAAAGGAAAUAGUCUUUGAGGGCCUUCAGGUGCCCAUUCAAGUCGGCACGCACGACCACAAGCUGCCAAAGAUGACUAGCUGCAAUUGCCCGAAUAGAAUCAACAGCAAACUCAAAUGAUCUUUUGUGAAAUUCGGAUGACUCCUUUAGGCCCUGAAGCAUAGCUUCAAUCUUAUCAGCCUCGGACUGUGGAAGUAAUUCUUCUCCAAUCAGGUUUGCAUCCACAAAAGGCUCCUUCUGGAAGGGAAAACGUCCAGAAAAUCCAUGAAUUUUCUGGGCACCUCUAGGUAUCUGCUGGUUAUGUAAAGGAUCCCUAAAUUGAAAGACAGGGCUUGGAUUCCGGAGAACCCUGAUGGCUUUGCCAGCAAAUAGAACCGAUUCAGCAACCCGCAUAUGGAUAUACUCAGGCAGCAUAUCCAAAAAUAUAUGAAAUCCCAAGUGCCAAUCUGAUAAAGACAUGUCAUCAGUUGACAAGCGUGCCAAUUUUUCUGACAUAUCUGGUUGAGAUGAGCUAUGCUCCACCUCCCUGUCUUCCUGCCUUCUGAUAAAAAAUUCACCAUGCUGAUCUUGAAGAAUCCCAUAAACCAUCCAUGAGGCAAGUUGGUUGUACAUGACUUGAUGCCCAUGCCAAAGAAGCCUUUGAAUGCAAGUCUGCAAUUCAGGAACCCCACAGUGACACCGCUUGUGUAGAAGAUUAAGAAGUUGUCCACCACGAAUAUCAUCCCGCUCAAUCUCUAGAACAAGCUCAUACAGAGGGGGCAGGAGGACAAAAAACUUAUUGAGGCCUUGGGUGACAGUGGCCAAGAGAGGCACAGUCUCCGACAGCAAUUUCUGCUCAAUGUGGAGAACCGCAGACCUAUAGACUGAAAGUAUCUCAACAAUGCCGUUAGCAACGGCCCUCCUAUAGACACUUGGUUUUCCAGAUGUACUGGAUGACAAUUCAGUAGCUCUGGCCAAAGGAGACACAUUUGCUGACCUUAUCCAACUCAAAUUGCGAGACUUAGUGGCAAAGCGAUCAAGCUCUCUGUAGUAGAAACCUAAUGUGAUGAUCCUCUCAAUGAGAUCCCUAUCACUGGGGUCGAUGAAGGAGAUGUCAGGAGCAAGCUUGAAGGAACGUUCGUCAGAGAUGGAAGCGUCGGGGGACAGUCGAACGCCAAUAGAAUUUUGGUGUUCUCUCUCGUCGAUGAUGAGAUCUCCAGUGUAGCCUAAAAGUGCCAGUAAUAGCUCGUGCAACAUUUUACUUCCCUUCUCCUCGUUGAAAGAGUAAUUUUUUAGCGUAGAAAAUUUUGUGCCUGUUAAGAAAACAGCUGCAUUUGAAUUUUGCCCGCCGGCUCUCUGGGCUUCCGCGGUGGGCGGCCACCAAAUGAGUUUAGUCCCUCGAAUGAGUUAGUGCCUGUUUGGAGCGGAGGAAUUUUUGUUUCU
rnacentral:misc_RNA from 1 species